GACGAACGCUGGCGGCGUGCUUAACACAUGCAAGUCGAACGGAAAGGCCCUGCUUUUGUGGGGUGCUCGAGUGGCGAACGGGUGAGUAACACGUGAGUAACCUGCCCUUGACUUUGGGAUAACUUCAGGAAACUGGGGCUAAUACCGGAUAGGAGCUCCUGCUGCAUGGUGGGGGUUGGAAAGUUUCGGCGGUUGGGGAUGGACUCGCGGCUUAUCAGCUUGUUGGUGGGGUAGUGGCUUACCAAGGGUUUGACGGGUAGCCGGCCUGAGAGGGUGACCGGCGACAUUGGGACUGAGAUACGGACCAGACUCCUACGGGAGGCAGCAGUGGGGAAUAUUGCACAAUGGGCGGAAGCCUGAUGCAGCAACGCCGCGUGCGGGAUGACGGCCUUCGGGUUGUAAACCGCUUUGGACUGUGACGAAGCGUGAGUGACGGUAAUGGGUAAAGAAGCACCGGCUAACUACGUG
rnacentral:rRNA from 1 species